rfam:Aspergillus calidoustus genome assembly, contig: SCAF1
GGGGUGAUAGCUCAGUUGGGAGUAGCGCACGACUGAAGUCUACUUUAGUCCACUGAAAUCGUGAGGUCGCCGGUUCAAUCCCGGCUCGCCCCA